rnacentral:misc_RNA from 1 species
UUCUUUUCUCUCUCUCUCUCUCUCUCUCUGCUAUGGAAACCCAAAUCCUCUUCUCUCUCUCUUUGAAUUCUUUUGCUUGAUUAAUCUGCUUUUGGCUCUCGAUUGAUGACACUAAACCCCAUCUGCAAGCCAAGGAGGAAGACAAGACGAAGAGGAGAAGGGUAAAAGCGUCACUGUUGCUCUUUUUUUCUUAGCUGCUUGCUUGCUCUCUCUCAUGGAGGUCUUGGUGGGUCCCACCUUCAGCAUCGAUGUCUCUUCUUCCCCACCGUUCGUCGACCCUUCUUCUCAAGAUAAUCACCAUGGUUCUGCGACUUCUUGCAUCUUCUUUAACGAGGACGAUGGCGGUGGAAGUGAGAGCUUGAUUUCUAGUGGGAUCCGGCUUAAAAAAUCGCUGGAUGAUUCCUCAGAUAGUUCGUCAUCGAUUGGAGCUCCGGAUGAUAGUGGAGAAGAAAGAGAGGAGGAGGUCGACAGCUCCGUUAAAGGAGCGUUGGCUUCUUUGGAUACUAUGGAAGAUUCUCUUCCUAUCAAGAGGGGAUUAUCGAAUCAUUUCUCUGGGAAGUCCAAGUCAUUUGCAAAUCUAUCAGAUAUGGGCAGUGUAAAUAGGGUGAAAGAUCUGGAGAAACCAGAGAACCCUUUCAAUAAGAGGAGGAGACUAAUCAUAGCAAACAAGUGGUCUAGAAAAUCCUCCUUCUACAGUUGGCCAAACCCAAAAUCUAUGCCUCUUCUUGCCUUGAACGAAGAAGAAGACGCUGCUGAUGAUGAACAAGAAGAAAACCAACAAGCAAGCCCAUCAUCAUCAUCAGAACAAGAAGGCCAAAAUCAGCAGCGC